rnacentral:rRNA from 1 species
AUUGAACGCUGGCGGCAGGCUUAACACAUGCAAGUCGAGCGGAGAUGAGGUGCUUGCACCUUAUCUUAGCGGCGGACGGGUGAGUAAUGCUUAGGAAUCUGCCUAUUAGAGGGGGACAACAUUCCGAAAGGAAUGCUAAUACCGCAUACGUCCUACGGGAGAAAGCAGGGGAUCUUCGGACCUUGCGCUAAUAGAUGAGCCUAAGUCGGAUUAGCUAGUUGGUGGGGUAAAGGACUACCAAGGCGACGAUCUGUAGCGGGUCUGAGAGGAUGAUCCGCCACACUGGGACUGAGACACGGCCCAGACUCCUACGGGAGGCAGCAGUGGGGAAUAUUGGACAAUGGGGGGAACCCUGAUCCAGCCAUGCCGCGUGUGUGAAGAAGGCCUUAUGGUUGUAAAGCACUUUAAGCGAGGAGGAGGCUACUGAGACUAAUACUCUUGGAUAGUGGGCGUUACUCGCAGAAUAAGCACCGGCUAACUCUGUGCCAGCCGCCGCGUAACAC